UAGCAGUAAGUUCAAAUAACACUGACAUCAUGCUGGGGACCCUUUUCACUCUCACCACUGCUCUGACAUGUGUGAGCGGAGCGACGGUGCUGACACAGAAGCCUCCAAUUGUAACAGUGAGAAAAGGAGAGACAGCCACCAUGGACUGUAACCUGGGGAGCGUUAGUAACAGUGCUGCUCGUUGGUACAAACGGAUUCCUGGUGGAGCUCCACAGUGGGUGCUGUAUUUCUAUCGUAGCAAUAGUGAACCAAUGUAUGGUUCUGGGUUUUCAUCUCCAAGGUUCACAUCAACUCAUCAGUCAACAACAGAUUAUCGUUUAAUCAUCAACAAUGUAGAAGAGCAAGACUCUGCAGUUUAUUACUGCAAAACAUGGGACAACUCUGUGAAUGAGUUUGUACACAGUGAUUUAUACCAUGACAAAAACCUCAACACAAACACUUCUGCUUUUAGACAAAUGGUGAACUGCUGGAGUGAAGAAUAA